CAGAGGGCGCGAGCGUUGUCCGGAAUCACUGGGCGUAAAGGGCGCGUAGGUGGCCACUAUAAGGCCGCGGUGAAAGUUCGGGGCUCAACCCUGAAUCGGCCGCGGCGACUGUAGGGCUUGGGCACUGUAGAGGCAGAUGGAAUUCCGGGUGUAGCGGUGGAAUGCGUAGAGAUCCGGAAGAACACCGGUGGCGAAGGCGGUCUGCUGGGCAGUGGACCCGUGAGGGUCCAAUAGCCGACACUGAGGCGCGACAGCGUGGGGAGCAAACAGGAUUAGAUACCCUGGUAGUCCACGCCGUAAACGAUGGGCACUAGGUGCUCCGGGGAGCGACCCUUGGAGUACCGGCGCUAACGCAUGAAGUGCCCCGCCUGGGGAGUACGGCCGCAAGGCUG
rnacentral:rRNA from 1 species